rnacentral:rRNA from 1 species
UGGGGAAUUUUGGACAAUGGGCGAAAGCCUGAUCCAGCAAUGCCGCGUGUGUGAAGAAGGCCUUCGGGUUGUAAAGCACUUUUGUCCGGAAAGAAAUCCUUGGCUCUAAUACAGUCGGGGGAUGACGGUACCGGAAGAAUAAGCACCGGCUAACUACGUGCCAGCAGCCGCGGUAAUACGUAGGGUGCAAGCGUUAAUCGGAAUUACUGGGCGUAAAGCGUGCGCAGGCGGUUUGCUAAGACCGAUGUGAAAUCCCCGGGCUCAACCUGGGAACUGCAUUGGUGACUGGCAGGCUAGAGUAUGGCAGAGGGGGUAGAAUUCCACGUGUAGCAGUGAAAUGCGUAGAGAUGUGGAGGAAUACCGAUGGCGAAGGCAGCCCCCUGGGCCAAAUACUGACGCUCAUGCACGAAAGCGUGGGGAGCAAACAGGAUUAGAUACCCUGGUAGUCCACGCCCUAAACGAUGUCAACUAGUUGUUGGGAUUCAUUUCCUUAGUAACGUAGCUAACGCGUGAAGUUGACCGCCUGGGGAGUACGGUCGCAAGA